GGGAGACGGUCUGGGACCAGUAGGCCUCUAAAGCUCAACCAGCGGGGUUCGAUCCCCCGGUCUCUCGCCA
rnacentral:tRNA from 1 species